rnacentral:rRNA from 1 species
GACGAACGCUGGCGGCGUGCCUAAUACAUGCAAGUCGAACGCUUCUUUCCUGCCGAGUGCUUGCACUCACUUGGAAAGAGGAGUGGCGGACGGGUGAGUAACACGUGGGUAACCUGCCCAUCAGAGGGGGAUAACACUUGGAAACAGGUGCUAAUACCGCAUAACAGUCAACACCGCAUGGUGUUGGUUUGAAAGACGCUUUCGGGUGUCACUGAUGGAUGGACCCGCGGUGCAUUAGCUAGUUGGUGAGGUAACGGCUCACCAAGGCCAUGAUGCAUAGCCGACCUGAGAGGGUGAUCGGCCACACUGGGACUGAGACACGGCCCAGACUCCUACGGGAGGCAGCAGUAGGGAAUCUUCGGCAAUGGACGAAAGUCUGACCGAGCAACGCCGCGUGAGUGAAGAAGGUUUUCGGAUCGUAAAACUCUGUUGUUAGAGAAGAACAAGUGGGAGAGUAACUGCUCCCGCCUUGACGGUAUCUAACCAGAAAGCCACGGCUAACUACGUGCCAGCCGCCGCCGUAACAC